rnacentral:lncRNA from 1 species
CCUAAUUUCGUAAAUCCCUAAAUCUAAUCUAGGUCAAUUUCAUCUUCUAAACUCUCUUUCUCUCUGAGUCUCAGCAGCCACGGUCUCUCUCUCAGCAGUCACGGUCACGGAAACAAUUACAUAGCCACGGUCUCUCUCUCUGGCACGUCGUCACUCACCCAGUUUUUUGUCAGCUAGUGCAUCGUGACCGUCAGCCUGUGUGCAGUCUGCCAGCGCAUCGCCACUCUUUAGGUAGUCUUCGGCGAAGCAUCCACACUGCGUGCCGUCAUCGUCGAUUUGUGCUUUCCUCACUAUGUGUUCAUCCUGUCAUGGCAGUUCUCACUCAUCAGCUUCAGCUAGUCUCGCAUCCUCACAGUCAUCACUCGUCAGCCGGGGGUCGUCGUUGUAGUCGUCACAGACACGGUCAUCUGCUGCUGUUAUUUUCAAAUUUCAAUUUUCGUUCAUAAUAAAGGUAUAAUAGUAGAAAAAUUAUUUUAAUUUAUUUGAUUUUUGUAUUAAUGUAUUUGAUUGAAAUCGAAUACUUGGUUAAAAAAAAAUUUGAAAUUUUUUCAGUUAUGUAUUUGAUAUCAUUCUUGUUUAAGAGCAUGCAUUUCAGUAGUUGAUUUCAUUUAGUCUGUGUUCUUUUUGGUUGCUUUAUUUGAUAGAGCAGAGCAAAAGGCUUUUGAAACCUCAGCUUCCUUUUUUUUUUAAUCUUUUAUGGCGAAAGUAGGGUAGGAAUAGUAUGAAAACAUGUUUUGCUUUCUUCUUGGAUGGCUAGCUUGGCUUGCCAUGGGAGAGUGGGAAGCUGAUUUAUAUCAUAUUAAUUACAUCACAUGGUUAUAUAAUAAAAGUUAUAUUUUUUUAGGAAUGUGUAUUUGUGUCAUAUUUUGAGCAAAACAUUUACUUGUUCAAAUAGGGACUCGUAGUAUACCGGCCUUGAUGGGAGCUGUGGAUAUUUCAUGGUCAAUGGGGAUGAUUGGCUAUUCAAGUAUUGAAUAUUGCUUUAGUGGUAGUUAGAUCUUUCUAUUCUGUCUUUUAUUUUAUUUAAUAGUGUUUAUAUAAUGAAUAAUAAACAGUUCUUUGACUAAAAAGUUGUUGGUAGCAUCAUGGACCCAAUUUGUGAGUAUAUCAUUUCUCCUAACUUGCAAAUAUUUGUUCAUUAGCAGUAUUUAUUUGGGAAUAUUUUGUACCUAUAACGAUAUGUAAUGUUCUGGAUUCUAUUUACCUUUUAAGGACCUUAGAAUGAUUAUGUAUGUCAAAUUCUCUGUUAGAUUUGUUCCUUGAUUUACUAGUGUUAGAUUUAUUUUGCAUUCUAGUUAUUCUCACAUGGCUUUGACUUUCCUUUAUUAUUGUACUUUCUUUCCCUUUUCUUUUGGAAUAAACUUCUUCGAUUAAUGGGGGCCCUAAAAAAGUUUAUACUAAAACCUUUAUUUUGCCAAGUUAUAAUUUGCUAGGACAUAUGGAGUGAAAUAUAUCUCGGAAGAAAUUGUAAAGUGGAUAGUUUGAGAUGCAUGCUCAGAUGUGGGGAGAGUUCUCUUGUCAAUGAUGAAUUAUACUAUGUAUUAGAUGUACUAUUGUAGCAUGUCCUUUUAGGUCAUAUAUUAGCAAGCCUCUUGUAUCAUAAUAGCAGGGCGUUACCACGUUAGUCAAAUUACAUGCUUGGUUUAACAGGUACUUUAAUGCAUUAAAAAAAUAUAUUUGUCAUUCAAGUUUAUCCAUGAAGCUUAGGAGUAUUCAUGCACAUUUAUGAAGUUUACGUAUUUAGUAUCUAUACUUUUUUUUCGGGUUAAAUUUGAAACAGGAUUUAAAAAUUUCUAUUCUAUAAAUGUGCAGCAAAAUUCUUUAGCAAACUACGGAUGAAGUCAAAAUAAAUCCUUUCUAGCUAGCAUGUGUUGACUUUUAUAAAACUUGCAUUUUGUCUUAUCUCCCAUGGGGAGGAGCUGAACUCAUUCAGGUAAUGCUUUAUUUAAUCAUUGCUUGAUGGUUUAUUUAAAUAUAACAUAUAUGUUUUAUUGUCUUAUAUUCUGUAUCUGUAUUUUGGAUUUGGAAUUUCUAUUAAUGGACUUCACCUCUCUACCAUAAAAUGAGAAUAUAUUAAUACUCUUAUGGCUAUUUUGAGAGACAAACAUAAAGAAUCAUCACCUUGGCAAAAAUAAGCUCCAUCCUUUUUAAAUAAUCGGCAGUGCAUCGUGUCUAAGUGAAUGAUUGAGAGAUCUCUAUAUAUAAUUGAUCUAGUGAUCUUUCUUCAAUCUUUCCUUUUGGUUUCUUUAUCUCAAUGACCUUAAGCCUUUUUGUAUUGCUUUACCUCUAUAACUGAAUAUGUUUAGUUUUCUAUUUGCUGAAGUGAAGUUUCUAGGAGGUUGAUGUUGUAUUUUGACUCAUGAUUGUUAUCAUUGUGUCUUGAAGAUUUGAUAGGAAAUUGAAAAGUAUUGCAAGAGUUUGGUACUAUACCUUUUUCAUUUUUUGGCUUAGGGAUACUUAUUUAAUUCAUUAGUGAUAGCCUAAGAAUACUUAAGAUAAAAAGGAUUAAUAUCAAUUCUAAGCUUUUUUAGGAUCUUUGGUAACUACUGUCAAGUGGUACUGUUUAUUAGUAUGUUACUACUUUUUAUAAUUUCUAGAAAAUGUCAAGUGUUUGGUUACAAAUUAUUGUUUAGUUUUGAGGUUAGUAAUAUAUACUUGUUAGUAAUUGGAGUUGAUGUUGAAUGUUAUGAAUACACUAUUAAUGAUCUUUCGUAUGUGUAGGCCGCAUUUGUUGUCAAGUUAUUUGUAGCAUUCAAUAAUCAUGUAAUGUACGAGUAUAUUUUUGCUUGUAAAUGUCCGACACUUAAUUUGUGUAGCAAACUAAUUAAUUCUAUAUGUUACACUUAUAGGUGGGAAAACAAUGAAGUUCAAGGUGUAGAGGCAAUAAGGAGAAUUUUGUUGCAAACUAAAUACUUGUAUUUUUUUUUCAAUCUGAAUAUCUACUUGUGGGCAUUUCAAACUAUAUUUGAGAUACUCUAAAUUUGUAUGUUUCUUUUAGUACUUGUUUUAAUUUGUAUUUGGUAUAAUUGUGACAUAUUAAU